rnacentral:rasiRNA from 1 species
GCCAUCACAAACCCAGUAAAUAACGAG